rnacentral:tRNA from 1 species
ACUAUUUUGACAGAUAAGUGUAACGAUUUUAGAAGUCGUGAAUGUAUAAUUUAAUUAUAUAUAUAGUA